ACGUUAGUGUCUCUACUCUAUAUACAAACAUCACAUAUUUAGUUUAACUUUGUUGUUCAAUUUAAACAUGAAAAUACUAAGAGGAUCAUUUUCAGGGUUCUGACUCCUCCCACUAGUAUCAGAUGGAACACAUUCUGACUCCUCCCAGUAGUAUCAGAUGGAACACAUUCUGACUCCUCCCAGUAGUAUCAGAUGGAACACAUUCUGACUCCUCCCGCUAGUAUCAGAUGGAACACAUUCUGACUCCUCCCAGUAGUAUCAGAUGGAACACAUUCUGACUCCUCCCAGUAGUAUCAGAUGGAACACAUUCUGACUCCUCCCAGUAGUAUCAGAUGGAACACAUUCUGACUCCUCCCGCUAGUAUCAGAUGGAACACAUUCUGACUCCUCCCGCCUAGUAUCAGAUGGAACACAUUCUGACUCCUCCCAGUUGUAUCAGAUGGAACACAUUCUGACUCCUCCCAGUUGUAUCAGAUGGAACACAUUCUGACUCCUCCCAGUAGUAUCAGAUGGAACACAUUCUGACUCCUCCCAGUAGUAUCAGAUGGAACACAUUCUGACUCCUCCCAGUAGCAGGGAUAUUGAAUUUCCUGUUUAGUCCUAUUCCCCUCUUCACAAAAAAAUGCUGGCGCUCGUCAUUGAUUUUGCACCAAAUAACCCCACACAGCAAGUAAGACAAUGUAUAAAUUAUUGUGUAGAGUAGAGCACCAGUCUCUCAGGCUUGACCCUCUCACCCCUGUCCUCCCCUAUAAGCCUAAAGGUCAUAUCAUAAAGAGAUUGUCUCCAGAUAAUAUAGUACAGAAACAUCAAAUCUCUCCAUCUGUUCUCCUCCCUGCUGGGAGUUGAGUGGAUUUAAUUGUGUUAAGCUCCACUGUGGAUUCCUCAAAAGUUUUUCAUUACAGAAAUCUAUAUCAAUCCGCCUCCCUCCUGUCAAACUAAUACGUUCUUAGAUCCCCAAUGACCCUCUAGAACACAUCUCUCUGAGUUUCACCAGAGUAUGGCUCGUGCCCAUACAGCAGCUAAAACUUCAUGUGAAGGCGCUUAGCUACCUGAUGAAUAUUCUUCCAACGUUUCUGUUUUGCUGUUACAUCGCUACUACCUCGCUCACCAACCAACAGUUGACCUGCAGGGGGAAACCUUCUAACCAAGGCCUUUAGAAAGAAACAAGGAGAUUAGGGACAGAGGUGUUGGAGGCAAAUCAGAGGAAUUAACUGUCUUUAACAGAGAGGUCAUGGCGUAAGCCUGCCGUGUCAUUUACAGUAUGUAUCAUUUACAGUAUGUAUCAUUUACAGUAUGUAUCAUAUCAUUUACAGUAUGUAUCAUUUACAGUAGGUAUCAUUUACAGUAGGUAUUACCAUUUACAGUAGGUAUCGGUUACAGUAUGUAUCAUUUACAGUAGGUAUCAUUUACAGUAGGUAUAAUUCCACAUGAUCUAUGGGAUGGUUGUGCAUCUGGAAUAUGAACAUAGCUUAAACUAGCUGAAAGAAUGUUCCCUAGCCUAGAAUGUUCCCUAGCCUGGAAUGUUCCCUAGCCUAGAAUGUUCCCUAGCCUGGAAUGUUCCCCUAGCCUAGAAUGUUCCCUAGCCUAGAAUGUUCCCUAGCCUGGAAUGUUCCCUAGCCUAGAAUGUUCCCUAGCCUGGAAUGUUCCCUAGCCUGGAAUGUUCCCUAGCCUAGAAUGUUCCCUAGCCUGGAAUGUUCCCUAGCCUGGAAUGUUCCCUAGCCUAGAAUGUUCCCUAGCCUAGAAUGUUCCCUAGCCUAGAAUGUUCCCUUUCAUUUAAAAGUAGAGAAUUCUGUUGUUUAUUUUUUGUUCUUCAUAAUCAUACUGCUGGCAAUAGAGGAGAGAAGUGUUGAUGCAUGUUCCUAAUUGGUUUCCAACUCUGUUUCCAGUCUCUUGUUAAUAUGAUGAGGUAAUCUGCCAUCUCAUUACGUUCAGCACAUAGUUAACUAUGAACCGUUCAUCCCUCUGGAGAACUAAGGUUGUAUUAAUUAAUCACUGAUGUAGGCAGGCGUCCCAAAAGGGUGCCAUUUGGAGCACACAGCCAUAGAGUGAUUAAUCAUAGGAGUAGUAUCUCUCUAGAUCAGUGUCUUACUCGGUGAGCAUACUGCCAAAAUAAGGAAGCCUUGUCCAAGCCAGAGCGGCCCAAAGGGCAGGAGCCUGUCUCCUGUUUCUGAAGCGUGAGGCAACUUAAUGUACUAGUACACCCCCUGGACAGGACACUAGUCUGUCUGUCUAUACUGGUAUAUAUUAAUGUACUAGUACACCCCCUGGACAGGACACUAGUCUGUCUGACUAUACUGGUAUAUAUUAAUGUACUAGUACACCCCCUGGACAGGACACUAGUCUGUCUGUCUAUACUGGUAUAUAUUAAUGUACUAGUACACCCCCUGGACAGGACACUAGUCUGUCUGUCUAUACUGGUAUAUAUUAAUGUACUAGUACACCCCCUGGACAGGACACUAGUCUGUCUGACUAUACUGGUAUAUAUUAAUGUACUAGUACACCCCCUGGACAGGACACUAGUCUGUCUGUCUAUACUGGUAUAUAUUAAUGUACUAGUACACACCCCUGGACAGGACACUAGUCUGUCUGACUAUACUGGUAUAUAUUAAUGUACUAGUACACACCCUGGACAGGACACUAGUCUGUCUGACUGUACUGGUGUAGAUUGUAUAUUUGAUUGCGUUAACAUAUUGUGACUAACAGAGGUGUCACAACCCAACAACUGUCACGUGACCUAUACCUACAGGGAAGAGCAGUGCUUCUCUGUCUUAUUGUGUUUGCACUGGAUCAAUGUGAAUGAAUGUAUACAAUGUUAUGUUGUAAAUAUGCCUGGAUUUGUAACCCAUGUUUAUCCAUAUGUAUUGGUUGAUAUGAUAAGCUAUGUGUUAUGCACGUAAGUAAAAAAGCUAAACUUUGUUUUGAAUAUAUGAUUACAUUAAUAAUGCCCAGAAUAUGCAACCAUGUUAAAUAUGUUAUUCAUGUAUAAUAAAAUAAGAAUAUAGACACAUCUAGUUGACAUUUUCACAUGAUGCACAAUAAACGUUUUGUUUGCAAAAAAAA